UAAUAUGUGUGGAGUGAGAAUGGGACGCGUGUCAACUUCUCCUUGAAUAUGAGAAAAUAUUCUUUUAUUUUUUUUAUUUUCUUGAUUUAUUUAGAUUAUUCAUAUCCAAUUAAUUUUUUGAUUUUUUUUAUUGGCUGGUGGAAAUGGACAUGAAUAGAAAAUAUUGGCCGUUGGUUAAUUUGAAUCGAUGCUUUUGAUUGAAUCAAAGAAGCACAAACAAUUCAAAAUGGCAAAGUUACC
rnacentral:lncRNA from 1 species